rnacentral:rRNA from 1 species
CUCCGGUUGAUCCUGCCGGACCCGACUGCUAUCAGAGUGAGAUUAAGCCAUGCGAGUUAACGUAGCAAUACGUGGCGCACGGCUCAGUAACACGUAGUCAACCUGCCCUGGAGACAAGGACAACCCCGGGAAACUGGGAUUAAUCUUUGAUAGGUCAUCUCAUCUGGAAGGAGAGAUGGUUUAAAGGGGUACGCGGGCUUCUUCCGCGAAUUCGCUCCAGGAUGGGACUGCGUCCGAUCAGGCUGUUGGCGGGGUAAUGGCCCACCAAACCUGUAACCGGUACGGGCCUUGAGAGAGGUGGCCCGGAGAUGGACACUGAGAGAAGGGUCCAGGUCCUACGGGGCGCAGCAGGCGCGAAACCUCUGCAAUAGGCGAAAGCCUGACAGGGUUACUCUGAGUGACUUUCGCUAAGAAAGUCUUUUGGCACCUCUAAAAAGGGUGCAGAAUAAGGGGUGGGCAAGUCUGGUGUCAGCCGCCGCGGUAAUACCAGCUCCUCGAGUGGUCGGGGCGAUUAUUGGGCCUAAAGCAUCCGUAGCCGGUUCCGUAGGUCCUCUGUUAAAUCCAACCGCUCAACGGUUGACCUGCAGAGGAUACCGCGGGACUAGGAGGCGGGAGAGGCGGACGGUACUCCGCGUGUAGGGGUAAAAUCCUUUGAUCCGCGGAAGACCACCAGUGGCGAAGGCGGUCCGCCAGAACGCGCUCGACGGUGAGGGAUGAAAGCUGGGGGAGCAAACCGGAUUAGAUACCCGGGUAGUCCCAGCUGUAAACGAUGCAGACUCGGUGAUGGGUUGGCUUCGAGCCAACCCAGUGCCGCAGGGAAGCCGUUAAGUCUGCCGCCUGGGGAGUACGGUCGCAAGACUGAAACUUAAAGGAAUUGGCGGGGGAGCA